UUUUACCUUAAUUACUUCUUUAAACACCCUAUCUCAAAUGUAGUGGCAUUCUGAGGUGCUGGGAGUUAACGCUUCAACAAAUGAAUUUGAGGAGGAAAAGGACACAGUUCAGCCCAUAGCAGAACAAUUUAUCUGAAAGAAAUUACCUGCUUCUUGAAAAUGUGAAAGCUGUAAAGUUGCCCAGGUGAGCGUGGUUCUGGCAGUCUCUGGUGUCUGGAGAGAAAAAGGUAGGAUCUAAACAACUUCCAACCAACCCUGAGGGGGUCAG